GUCUACGGCCAUACCACCCUGAACACGCCCAAUCUCGUCUGAUCUCGGAAGCUAAGCAGGAUUGGGCCUGGUUAGUACUUGGAAAGGAGAAAACAGUAGUGUAAAGU
ensembl:rRNA 5S_rRNA 5S ribosomal RNA